UGACAGGUGGUGCAUGGUUGUCGUCAGCUCGUGUCGUGAGAUGUUGGGUUAAGUCCCGCAACGAGCGCAACCCUUGAUUUUAGUUGCCAGCAUUUAGUUGGGCACUCUAAAGUGACUGCCGGUGCAAGCCGGAGGAAGGUGGGGAUGACGUCAAAUCAUCAUGCCCCUUAUGACCUGGGCUACACACGUGCUACAAUGGAUAGUACAAAGGGUCGCGAAGCCGCGAGGUGGAGCUAAUCCCAUAAAACUAUUCUCAGUUCGGAUUGUAGGCUGCAACUCGCCUACAUGAAGCCGGAAUCGCUAGUAAUCGUGGAUCAGCAUGCCACGGUGAAUACGUUCCCGGGCCUUGUACACACCGCCCGUCACACCACGAGAGUUUGUAACACCCGAAGUCGGUAGGGUAACCUUUAUGGAGCCAGCCGCCGAAGGUGGGACAGAUAAUUGGGGUGAAGUCGUAACAAGGUAGCCGUAUCGGAAGGUGCGGCUGGAUCACCUCCUUU
rnacentral:rRNA from 1 species